rnacentral:lncRNA from 1 species
GCAGUCGGCCUUCCCAUGAGGAAGGCAUUGGUAGCCAGGGAGGAGAGGAGGGGAGCGGUGGGGUAGAAGGAGGUGAACGGGGUGGAAUGGGGCUGGGCUCGGAGUAGGAGUCACCGUUUCCUCAGCCAUGCUGCUGUUUCCUUCUCCUCAGAACACGCUGCGCUGAUGUAACACCCGGGUGUCCCGUGCCCUGGCUCCUGGAAGCAGGGUCAUCUUUGCUUGCUGGGAAAAAGAAUCCUUGCGAAGAGAAGUUGCUCCCUGGAGGGAGAAGAAGGCAACGAUCUCCCCCAAAACUGACCCCUGCGUCCUGGAAGGAUGGCUACAAUGGGCCAUGGGGAGGCCGCCGAGCUGUUGGGCAGAGGAGGUCUGGGGGACCACAGAAGGGAAGAUCCCUUAAAUGGAAUGGCCUUCUGUAAAGCUCUCGCAGGCUGACCAACGCGGUCAUCAACCGUGCUCUGAUCAUUUUUAAGUUGUUGAAGUGGCUCAGCGGAUUAAUAGGAUAUUGCCCUGGCUUUCUCAAAUGCACGCACACAGAAUUAUUUAAUGCCAUUUUCAAGGGCAAAAAGGAAGAGAUCUGAUAGCCCUGCAAGUGAACAGAGAAUAACGACAUAACAACAGAGCCCCAUCACCACCACCAAACGGAGAAGAAGAGCGCUGUGUGGGAGAACGCAAGCCUUCCCAUUGCACCGGACUUGCCCUCUCUCCAUUUAAACUCCUGGCCAGCUCCUCUCUACUUUAUGGGGCCCCUCACCUCAGAGCUGCUGAAGGGAGGUCCACUGCCCUCUAACACGAACCCAAAGGUACACAUACCUGCUCAUCUCACUGCAUUUCUAGUUUCACCCCAGUCAGGAGAACACUGCCAGGCAACUUCUUUGUGACCUUUGGAGUUUACCUCCAUUUUUCAAGAAUCUAGAUAGACCUAGUAAAGGGGGUGGGGGUGGGGGGGAAGAAGAACCAUUUGACGUAGAGUUGCACGCUGGGUAGCUGAGUCAGGUUGAGGUUUGCAACACCGUUAUUUGGUUCUAUUGACCGAAUGUCUUACCUGCUCUAUUAUCUGUUUUUUCAGAUGUGAGCUGUUUUUGAUUUUUAAUUGCUCUUAUUUACCAAAUGUCUUACUCAUUACACUAUCUGGUUUUUCAGAUGCGCCCUCUUUUUUAUUUCACUGUGAAGAGUCUAGCCUAACAAAAUUAGUAACUUGCUCAAUAAUCCAAGAAUUGCCGAGCACCCCGUACAGGUUGAGUUGAUAGAUUUCGUAGCAGUGACUGGCACUUCUUUGUCUUAAUCCUUAUGAUCAAUGCUUUUCAUAAGAACUAAAGAAUUUGCCUUCAAAAGGAAAUUUUAAAUACUGACAAUUUAUUGAUAAGAAUCAAAUAUUUUGUUGCAUCAAAUGCCUUCAAGAUUCAAAGGGACUGUUUC